UGGGGAAUAUUGCACAAUGGGCGCAAGCCUGAUGCAGCCAUGCCGCGUGUAUGAAGAAGGCCUUCGGGUUGUAAAGUACUUUCAGCGGGGAGGAAGGCGAUAAGGUUAAUAACCUUGUCGAUUGACGUUACCCGCAGAAGAAGCACCGGCUAACUCCGUGCCAGCAGCCGCGGUAAUACGGAGGGUGCAAGCGUUAAUCGGAAUUACUGGGCGUAAAGCGCACGCAGGCGGUCUGUCAAGUCGGAUGUGAAAUCCCCGGGCUCAACCUGGGAACUGCAUUCGAAACUGGCAGGCUAGAGUCUUGUAGAGGGGGGUAGAAUUCUAGGUGUAGCGGUGAAAUGCGUAGAGAUCUGGAGGAAUACCGGUGGCGAAGGCGGCCCCCUGGACAAAGACUGACGCUCAGGUGCGAAAGCGUGGGGAGCAAACA
rnacentral:rRNA from 1 species